rnacentral:rRNA from 1 species
UGGGGAAUAUUGCACAAUGGAGGGAACUCUGAUGCAGCGACGCCGCGUGAACGAAGAAGGCUUUCGAGUCGUAAAGUUCUUUUAUAUGGGAAGAUAAUGACGGUACCAUAAGAAAAAGCCCCGGCUAACUACGUGCCAGCAGCCGCGGUAAUACGUAGGGGGCUAGCGUUGUCCGGAAUCACUGGGCGUAAAGGGUUCGCAGGCGGAAAUGCAAGUCAGGUGUAAAAGGCAGUAGCUUAACUACUGUAAGCAUUUGAAACUGCAUAUCUUGAGAAGAGUAGAGGUAAGUGGAAUUUUUAGUGUAGCGGUGAAAUGCGUAGAUAUUAAAAAGAAUACCGGUGGCGAAGGCGACUUACUGGGCUCAUUCUGACGCUGAGGAACGAAAGCGUGGGUAGCAAACA